AGCAAAACCUCGCGCGCUAUGAAUCCUGAGACCGAGACGAGUCGCGCGGCGCCGCUCUAUACUCUCAUCGUCUUCCUCUUUCCGUCGUCAUCUACUCUCUCUCUCUCCCUCUCACUCUAAUUUUCCAGAAUUCUCCUCCACAGGCUCACAGCUCAUCUGGGAGAGCUGACAUUGAACUUAACGGUCUCUGGUGAUUCCGUAGUUGAACAAGCUGUCGUCCGCCGACUGUAAUCAAAACUCCCCCACCGACUUUUUCAAUACAACUCUCUCUCUCUCUCUCUCUCUCUCUCUCUCUCUAGAUUGGUGGGUAUUGAAAUUUCAACCACUAUUUUCAGAUCUGUGGGUAUUGAAAUUCCAAAUUCCAGCGUUCGUCAGGUGGGUUGAUAGUGGGUGAGUGGCUGCGGGUCUGAUUUCCAGGUGGGCUCAUGUUGGAUUUGGAAAUACAGAGUCAUUUUUUGGUUACAGUCUUCGAUUCAAUCCAAACACUUGACAAUAAUCCCAACCUAUCCAUUCCAAUCCUAGACUAACCAAUCCAAAUACAAAUCCCUUCCUGUUUCCCUCUGUUUUCUUUCUGUGUAUUUUACGCUAUAAGCAUGAUUAGGAUGUUGAUUAGGACGUGGGUUUUGUUUAAUGGGUCUUGAAACCCUGGUAAGACUAGUAAAUGCCUCUCCUUUCGAUCAAUUUCUUGCAAUGCUUUGUUCUGGAGCCAUCAAUUGAUUUCAUAGUUGUAGGGUUAUAAACCCGGAUUAGCAUUUCUUGCUUUCCUGCUACCAUUUUAUUUGCUGGCAAUAUUUCACCAUGGAACCGGGCACCUCGUGGUCGACUAUGGAGGAUGUUUUGUUGUGCGAGUGUUGGGUUCGUGUUGCUCAUGACCCGCUUACGGGUAGCGAAUUGAAGCUUAAUCAAAUGUGGAAACAAAUCCGUGCAGAGUUUUCCGAGAGGAGCAAUUCGACUCGCACGGAGCAAAGUAUUUCUAGCAGGUGGAAAACUCUAAACAAAAAGUUACGCAGCUGGAGAAACGCCUUGGAAAAAGCUCAAGAUGAUUUUCAAAGUGGCAAAAAUCUUACUCAUCAGGCACUACAAGCACUCUUGUUGUAUAGUGCAGACAACAAGAAUAAGUCAUUCAAACAUCACAAUUGCUGGGCCGUUGUGAAGGGAUGUCCGAGAUUUAAAAUUGUUUCCAAUAGUCCAACCGUUGUCAAAAACGAGGUGCCACGGCACGAUUCACCUAAUGGAGAUUUGCCGUUGGAGUCCCCAGUUGAAAAGGAGUCACCAACUGAAAAAAGGUCGAUUCCUGUGGGUAAGAAGGUUGCGAAGAAAAGAGGUAAAAAGGGGGGUUCCUUCAAUGAAUGUGCAAAGUUCUUAAAAGAACUUGUUCGCCAAGGUGAAAUUAAUAUCAAGCGGGAGAGGUUAAGAGAUGAGGCACUUGCGACAGAAAGGGAGUAUGCACGAAAACAAGAUGAGGUACUCCUGAGAGAAAGGAUGGACAAGCGAGAUCGGGAAAUUAUGUCCCAGAAUCUAAACAAUAUGUCCUCUGAUUCAAAACUGUUUUGGGAACAAGAAAAAGCGGAUGUUAUGAAAAGAAGGUGUGCAAGGGAAGAUGGACCUAGCAACACAGAGUUAUUCCAAGAGAGUUUAUCAGGCAGUGCAGAUGUCUACAGAACAUGAGCUUAAUACCGAACUAGGCAGCAUUGAAAACAGAGGUGGAUUUGUCUUUAACAUGGCAGGCACUGGAACAUUUUAAUCGUGGAGAAAAGCAGAUGGACCAAGGACAAUCGAAGCCUUUAGCCCAGCCGUCAGUCAUGGGUUCAUGCCCGAAAACAUUUUAAGGCUAGGGCUGGCACCACAAUCUCAGCAAAGUGCCCAAACAUGCCAAAUAACCACAUUGCAUUGGCUGCUCAGUUGCAAGCAUUUGCACUUUGAGCACAAUUUUGAUCUUUCACAGCCUGGAAAUGCCAACUUGAUGCCACAGCUCAUUCCACUGUUGCAGUUGAGGGUUGCUGCUCAAUGAAAAGCUAAUGAAAGCAACAUGGCUGCAUAAUCUUUACCUUUUCCAGCGUCAAAGCAGCAGGUUACUUGUCCUCCAGUUGCGAGUGAGAGUUCUCCUCAUGCUAAUACAUCUAGUGGUGCAUCUGGGGCAGUCUAGCUAUGCAAAAGCAAAGCAGACAGUUGCGGCUAACCCUUUUGGUUGAGGUUCAAAUCGUAGUAACUUUAACACUAAUAACAGCAUUCCUAUGCAGCAGUUUUUUGUUCAUGGCAGAGAAAACCAGAUGUGACGGCAGUCAAUUCCUAUUGGAAAUGGAAUGACUUGUACCCAUCCCGCGCAGUCAUCUGCAAACACAAGCCACGCUGUGGACAACUCUUUCCAUGUAAAAAGCUCACAAAACAAUCCAGAUGCAAUACCAUCGCCCAUCGGUAGUCGAGUGGAUCUUCUUCCUGAAACUUAUAGGUCGUCUUCUAAAAUAUACGUGGGACCUAACACCCAAUAAGACUAUGCCACAUGUGCAAUAAUUUUGAUUAUAAAUCUCCAUUAUGUGUUAA